AAUUCUCAACCCUUAACUUCUUAUUGAAGCUCUGGGCUUGGACUGUGGAGGUUCUGCCGGCGAAAGCUGGCUCCUCUGAAAUGCAUUAGCGGAACUGUUUGCGAUCUGCCACAAGUGUGAUAAUUAUCUACACUGGCUAGGGGGAUUGCUCUCGUUGAGUUCGGCUUCUAAUCGUCUUCGGACAACUUUAAUGAAU
rnacentral:misc_RNA from 1 species